AUUGAACGCUGGCGGCAUGCCUUACACAUGCAAGUCAAACGGUAACAGGUCUUCGGAUGCUGACGAGUGGCGAACGGGUGAGUAAUACAUCGGAACGUGCCCGAUCGUGGGGGAUAACGGAGCGAAAGCUUUGCUAAUACCGCAUACGACUUACGGAUGAAAGCAGGGGACCGCAAGGCCUUGCGCGGACGGAGCGGCCGAUGGCAGAUUAGGUAGUUGGUGGGAUAAAAGCUUACCAAGCCGACGAUCUGUAGCUGGUCUGAGAGGACGACCAGCCACACUGGGACUGAGACACGGCCCAGACUCCUACGGGAGGCAGCAGUGGGGAAUUUUGGACAAUGGGCGCAAGCCUGAUCCAGCCAUGCCGCGUGCAGGAUGAAGGCCUUCGGGUUGUAAACUGCUUUUGUACGGAACGAAAAGACUCUUUCUAAUAAAGAGGGUCCAUGACGGUACCGUAAGAAUAAGCACCGGCUAACUACGUGCCAGCCGCCGCCGUAAAAC
rnacentral:rRNA from 1 species